AGGGGCAUCGGGGAUAAGCUUGCUUAUCCGCCGGCGACCGGCGCACGGGUGCGGAACGCGUAUGGAACCUGCCCCUGUCAGGGGAAUAGCCCAGGGAAACUUGGAUUAAUGCCCCAUGGUACCGCGACAUCGCAUGAUGAUGCGGUUAAAGAUUUAUCGGACAGGGAUGGCCAUGCGUACCAUUAGCUAGUUGGUAAGGUAACGGCUUACCAAGGCAACGAUGGUUAGGGGCCCUGAGAGGGGGAUCCCCCACACUGGUACUGAGACACGGACCAGACUCCUACGGGAGGCAGCAGUGAGGAAUAUUGGACAAUGGUCGGAAGACUGAUCCAGCCAUGCCGCGUGCAGGAUGACGGCCCUAUGGGUUGUAAACUGCUUUUAUACGGGAAGAAACCCGCCUACGUGUAGGCGGCUGACUGUACCGUAAGAAUAAGGACCGGCUAACUCCGUGCCAGCAGCCGCGGUAAUACGGAGGGUCCGAGCGUUAUCCGGAAUCAUUGGGUUUAAAGGGUCCGUAGGCGGGCCUGUAAGUCAGGGGUGAAAGUUUGUGGCUCAACCAUAAAAUUGCCUUUGAUACUGCAGGUCUUGAGUCAUGGUGGGGUUGCCGGAACAUGUGGUGUAGCGGUGAAAUGCAUAGAUAUCACAUAGAACACCGAUCGCGAAGGCAGGUGACCAACCAUGUACUGACGCUGAUGGACGAAAGCGUGGGUAGCGAACGGGAUUAGAUACCCCGGUAGUCCACGCCGUAAACGAUGGAUACUAGCUGUGGGGACUUCGGUCUCCGUGGCCAAGCGAAAGUG
rnacentral:rRNA from 1 species